rnacentral:rRNA from 1 species
AUAUUGGACAAUGGGCGCAAGCCUGAUCCAGCCAUGCCGCGUGAGUGAUGAAGGCCUUAGGGUUGUAAAGCUCUUUCAGUGGGGACGAUAAUGACGGUACCCACAGAAGAAGCCCCGGCUAACUUCGUGCCAGCAGCCGCGGUAAUACGAAGGGGGCUAGCGUUGUUCGGAUUUACUGGGCGUAAAGCGCACGUAGGCGGAUCGUUAAGUCGGGGGUGAAAUCCUGGAGCUCAACUCCAGAACUGCCUUCGAUACUGGCGAUCUUGAGUCCGGAAGAGGUGAGUGGAACUCCUAGUGUAGAGGUGGAAUUCGUAGAUAUUAGGAAGAACACCAGUGGCGAAGGCGGCUCACUGGUCCGGUACUGACGCUGAGGUGCGAAAGCGUGGGGAGCAAACAGG